rnacentral:misc_RNA from 1 species
AUUCUACUUGUGGAUUUUCUUUCCACUUUCACUCUCCAUAAACUUUAUAGACCGCAUUAACUUCUGGCAACUUAAGUCGUUUGUGAAUUCUAGAUUGUUAGUUAUGUAUUGCAUUACAUUUGCAACAUUAUGUAUAUAGCAUAAACUGAAACAGUUAUUUUGCUGUUACCCAUUACGAAACUGAUAAAAUCCAUGCUGGUAACCCAAUUGAAAUGUAAAAUUUGUUGAUCAAUACAUUUUG